rnacentral:rRNA from 1 species
UACGGAGGAUCCGAGCGUUAUCCGGAUUUAUUGGGUUUAAAGGGUGCGCAGGCGGGAGAUUAAGUCGGCGGUGAAAUUUUGCAGCUCAACUGUAAAAGUGCCUUCGUAACUGGUUUCCUUGAGUGUGGAUGAAGUAGGCGGAAUUUGUGGUGUAGCGGUGAAAUGCAUAGAUAUCACGAGGAACUCCGAUUGCGCAGGCAGCUUACUAAGCCAUAACUGACGCUCAGGCACGAAGGCGUGGGGAUCAAACAGGAUUAGAUACCCU